rnacentral:rRNA from 1 species
AGCAGCCGCGGUAAUUCCAGCUCCAAUAGCGUAUAUUAAAGUUGUUGCAGUUAAAAAGCUCGUAGUUGAAUUUUGGGAUCAAGGUGUCGGUCAUGCCUUUGGUAUGUACUGACAUCAUUGAUUUCUCCCUUCUGGCGAACUAUGAUGUCAUUAAUUUGGUGUCAUGGGGAAUCAGGACUGUUACUUUGAAGAAAUUAGAAUGUUUAAAGCAGGCAUACGCUUGAAUACAUUAGCAUGGAAUAAUGAAAUAGGACGUUUGAUCCUAUUUUGUUGGUUUCUAGGAUCUAUGUAAUGAUUAAUAGGGAUAGUUGGG